UACAGAGGCCACAAGCGUUAUUCGGAAUCACUGGGCUUAAAGGGUGCGUAGGCGGAUCCGCAAGUGUCCUGUGAAAUCCCACGGCUCAACCGUGGAACAGCAGGGCAUACUGCGGAUCUCGAGGCAAGUAGGGGCGGGCAGAACAGUAGGUGGAGCGGUGAAAUGCGUAGAUAUCUACUGGAAUGCCGAUGGGGAAGCCGGCCCGCUGGGCUUGUCCUGACGCUGAGGCACGAAAGCGUGGGGAGCAAAC
rnacentral:rRNA from 1 species